rnacentral:rRNA from 1 species
CCUACGGGAGGCUGCAGUGAGGAAUAUUGGUCAAUGGACGAGAGUCUGAACCAGCCAAGUAGCGUGAAGGAUGACUGCCCUAUGGGUUGUAAACUUCUUUUAUAUGGGAAUAAACUGUUCCACGUGUGGGAUUUUGUAUGUACCAUCUGAAUAAGGAUCGGCUAACUCCGUGCCAGCAGCCGCGGUAAUACGGAGGAUCCGAGCGUUAUCCGGAUUUAUUGGGUUUAAAGGGAGCGUAGGUGGAUUGUUAAGUCAGUUGUGAAAGUUUGCGGCUCAACCGUAAAAGUGCAGUUGAAACUGGCAGUCUUGAGUACAGUAGAGGUGGGCGGAAUUCGGGGUGUAGCGGUGAAAUGCUUAGAUAUCACGAAGAACUCCGAUUGCGAAGGCAGUUCACUGGACUGCAACUGACACUGAUGCUCGAAAGUGUGGGUAUCAAACAGGAUUAGAUACCCGAGUAGUC